CAGCCGCCGCGGUAAAACGGAGGGUGCAAGCGUUAUCCGGAUUUAUUGGGUUUAAAGGGUCCGUAGGCGGAUCUGUAAGUCAGUGGUGAAAUCUCACAGCUUAACUGUGAAACUGCCAUUGAUACUGCAGGUCUUGAGUAAAUUUGAAGUGGCUGGAAUAAGUAGUGUAGCGGUGAAAUGCAUAGAUAUUACUUAGAACACCAAUUGCGAAGGCAGGUCACUAAGAUUUAACUGACGCUGAUGGACGAAAGCGUGGGGAGCGAACAGGAUUAGAUACCCCAGUAGUCCCUGUCCUUAUACA
rnacentral:rRNA from 1 species